CCUACGGGUGGCAGCAGUCGAGAAUCAUUCACAAUGGGGGAAACCCUGAUGGUGCGACGCCGCGUGGGGGAAUGAAGGUCUUCGGAUUGUAAACCCCUGUCAUGUGGGAGCAAAUCAAAAAGAUAGUACCACAAGAGGAAGAGACGGCUCACUAUGUGCCAGCUGCCGCGGUAAUACAGAGGUCUCAAGCGGUGUUCGGAAUCACUGGGCGUAAAGCGUGCGUAGGCUGUUUCGUAAGUCGCGUGGGACAGGCGCGGGCUCAACCCGCGGACGGCACAUGAUACUGCGAGACUAGAGUGAUGGAGGGGGAAGCGGAAUUCUCGGUGUAGCAGUGAAAUGCGUAGAUAGCGAGAGGAACACUCGUGGCGAAGGCAGGUUCCUGGACAUUAACUGACGCUGAGGCACGAAGGCCAGGGGAGCGAAAGGGAUUAGAUACCCGAGUAGUC
rnacentral:rRNA from 1 species